CAGGGUUUUUUUUUUCCAGUAUGAUAAUAGAGAAACCUCCUGUAGGACUAUAAUUACCCAAGGGGGAAUUACCUAGGUUCAUAUCCAUAGGUCCUAGUCUCUCAGGCACUGGGAUUGCAACAUGCUGCCACCAGACCCACUUGAGACAUUGUAAGGCAAUAACUACAUUUUGGUUUUUGAAAGUGAAUGUCUGGCGAAUUUAAGCCUCAGCUUGGAUCUUCAAAAUCUCUCAAAGGCCCAUAGCUGCGACCUUGAUCAUAGGCUUUGGAAUUAUUGGGGGAUGGUAGAGUCUUAAGGAAGUGAGAUCUAGCAUGAGGACAUGCAUCAUGGUGGAUGGUCCUGAUGAAGGUCCUGAGACCACGACCACUCUCUUGCUGUACCUCCUGACUGUCAGAGGGUAAAUGCUAAUCCUCUUCACCCUGAUGUACUAGGGCUCCUUUGAGCUCUAUGUAAUGAGGACUAAGUGGCCAUGGACUGAAGCUCCUGAAAGCGACCCUCACCUCCUUUUAAAGCUGAUUUACCUCAGGUAUUUUAUCAUGGUGACAGAGAAGCUGACUGGACAGUUCUUUCUAGAAAGGUUCCCAAAUCCUCGGUUCGUGGAACCCCACGCAAGUAGGAGCUGCGGGACGGCAUCCUACACCCCAGCACCUACAAAAGCAAAUGCUGACCUCUGUUCAGAGAGGAAUGCUCAAAGAAAACAUCCACACACACUGUGCUUUGGAAUCCACCUGACAGCUGACUUUCCAUACCUCUACCUCAAGAAGGCAGGCUCCCAGUUUCACUGAUUUCUAUUAAACAGACCCUCGAGAUCACCAAGAAAGAUGAUCCAUACACCUGGAAACUUCACUUGUGUCAGCUCCCUCUUCCCUACUGGAGCAGAGCCCUCUUUGCACGCCAACUAUGCUUAUAAAGACACAUUUGAAAACUCCAUCCGUCUUGCUGGAUAUAAAUCCAAAUAAUAAAAACUGAAAAUGGAAA